rnacentral:rRNA from 1 species
ACAGGGAUUGCCUCAGUAACGGCGAGUGAAGCGGCAACAGCUCAAAUUUGAAAUCUGGCCCCCUCGGGGUCCGAGUUGUAAUUUGGAGAGGAUGCUUCGGGUGUGGCCCCGGUCUAAGUUCCUUGGAACAGGACGUCACAGAGGGUGAGAAUCCCGUACGUGCCCGGUGGCCGCCCCCGUGUGAAGCUCCUUCGACGAGUCGAGUUGUUUGGGAAUGCAGCUCAAAAUGGGUGGUAAAUUUCAUCUAAAGCUAAAUAUUGGCCAGAGACCGAUAGCGCACAAGUAGAGUGAUCGAAAGAUGAAAAGCACUUUGGAAAGAGAGUUAAACAGUACGUGAAAUUGUUGAAAGGGAAGCGCUGGCAACCAGACUUGCGCGGGGUCGAUCAUCCGGUGUUCGCACCGGUGCACUCGGCCCCGUGCAGGCCAGCAUCGGUCUGGGCGGCUGGAUAAAGGCCUUGGGAAUGUGGCUCUCUUCGGGGAGUGUUAUAGCCCAAGGUGCAAUGCAGCCCGCCUGGACCGAGGACCGCGCUCCGGCUAGGAUGCUGGCGUAAUGGUUGUCAGCGACCCGUCU